rnacentral:rRNA from 1 species
ACGCUCGACACCUACGGGAGCAGCAGUCGGGAAUAUUGCGCAAUGGAGGAAACUCUGACGCAGUGACGCCGCGUAUAGGAAGAAGGUUUUCGGAUUGUAAACUAUUGUCGUUAGGGAAGAAAAAAGACAGUACCUAAGGAGGAAGCUCCGGCUAACUACGUGCUAGCAGCCGCGGUAAUCUGAGCGGGCUGGCAAGGC